rnacentral:ncRNA from 1 species
UGAGGAGGAACAUCUUUCUACCCCUGAUUAAGCUAAUCUAACCUAAAGCGAAUGAUUAGAGGCCCUAGUGUCGAAACAAUCUUAACCUAUUCCCAAACUAUAAAUGGGUAAGAACAUCCUUUUUUUAUAUGUAGGUUGAGUUGUGUUAUAUUGAGACCAGUGGUCCAAUUUGGAUAAGCAGAACUGGCGCUGUUGGUUAAACCAAACGCUAUGUUACGGUGCCAACAUUUAGAACUCAUGCAGAUACCUUGAAAAGCGCUACUUGCUUAAAACAUCAGGACAAUGGGAAUAGAAAAUGGAAUCAUUAACCCUUUAGGAUAUAUGGGCGUAGAUAAAAUAGAACUUUUCGAAUUUUCUUAUCCGUUGUGGAACUUUCUUUACACCGAAUUGUCUUGGAGGUCUCGGUACUUCCUCCUUUUGGAAUAACAUCCCGUGAGUUAUCAGACACGGGGGGGGGGGGGGGGGGGGGGGGGGGGGGGGGG